AACCUCUGCAAUAGGCGAAAGCUUGACAGGGUUACUCUGAGUGAUUUCCGUUAAGGAGAUCUUUUGGCACCUCUAAAAAUGGUGCAGAAUAAGGGGUGGGCAAGUCUGGUGUCAGCCGCCGCGGUAAUACCAGCACCUCGAGUGGUCAGGACGUUUAUUGGGCCUAAAGCAUCCGUAGCCGGCUUUGCAAGUCUUCGGUUAAAUCCACCUGCUCAACAGAUGGGCCGCUGGAGAUACUACAGAGCUAGGGAGUGGGAGAGGCAGACGGUAUUCAGUGGGUAGGGGUAAAAUCCUCUGAUCCAUUGAGGACCACCAGUGGCGAAGGCGGUCUGCCAGAACACGUUCGACGGUGAGGGAUGAAAGCUGGGGGAGCAAACCGG
rnacentral:rRNA from 1 species